GAGUUUGAUCAUGGCUCAGAUUGAACGCUGGCGGCAGGCCUAACACAUGCAAGUCGAGCGGAUGACGGGAGCUUGCUCCUUGAUUCAGCGGCGGACGGGUGAGUAAUGCCUAGGAAUCUGCCUGGUAGUGGGGGACAACGUUUCGAAAGGAACGCUAAUACCGCAUACGUCCUACGGGAGAAAGCAGGGGACCUUCGGGCCUUGCGCUAUCAGAUGAGCCUAGGUCGGAUUAGCUAGUUGGUGGGGCAAUGGCUCACCAAGGCGACGAUCCGUAACUGGUCUGAGAGGAUGAUCAGUCACACUGGAACUGAGACACGGUCCAGACUCCUACGGGAGGCAGCAGUGGGGAAUAUUGGACAAUGGGCGAAAGCCUGAUCCAGCCAUGCCGCGUGUGUGAAGAAGGUCUUCGGAUUGUAAAGCACUUUAAGUUGGAGGAAGGGCAGUAAGUUAAUACCUUGCUGUUUUGACGUUACCGACAGAAUAAGCACCGGCUAACUCUGUGCCAGC
rnacentral:rRNA from 1 species